rnacentral:rRNA from 1 species
UACGUAGGGACCAAGCGUUGUCCGGAAUCAUUGGGCGUAAAGAGCGUGUAGGCGGCUUGUUAAGUCUUGCGUGAAAUCUCGGGGCUCAACCCCGAGCGGUCGUGAGAAACUGGCAGGCUAGAGUGCGGGAGAGGAGAGUGGAAUUCCUGGUGUAGCGGUGAAAUGCGCAGAUAUCAGGAAGAACACCCGUGGCGAAGGCGGCUCUCUGGAACGCAACUGACGCUGAGGUGCGAAAGCGUGGGGAGCAAACAGG